GAUGAAGAACGCAGCGAAAUGCGAUAAGUAAUGUGAAUUGCAGAAUUCAGUGAAUCAUCGAAUCUUUGAACGCACAUUGCGCCCGCCAGCAUUCUGGCGGGCAUGCCUGUUCGAGCGUCAUUUCAACCCUCGAGCCCCCCCGGGGGCCUCGGUGUUGGGGGACGGCACACCAGCCGCCCCCGAAAUGCACUGGCGACCCCGCCGCAGCCUCCCCUGCGUAGUAGCACACACCUCGCACCGGAGCGCGGAGGCGGUCACGCCGUAAAACGCCCAACUUUCUUAGAGUUGACCUCGGAUCAGGUAGGAAUACCCGCUGAACUUAAGCAUAUCAAUAAGCGGAGAA
rnacentral:misc_RNA from 1 species